rnacentral:rRNA from 1 species
CUAGUAAUAGAAAUGGGCUAUCGCGGAUCUAAAUCAGAGAAUAUAUCUGUAAAAGAGCAACGAGUAGACGGUUCUUCAGUUAUAAAUCUAAAAAACAUUUAUAUCUGUAAGGUGUACUCUAGUCUACGGGGAAACCCGGUUUUAACAUUUUUAACAAGGAAUUAAGUUACUAAGUAACAUCCUUAAAGUCUGGGCGAAGCGCCCCCCCCGCAGUAGGCCCUCCGGGCCGCCUGCGAGGUAUGAUUUAUAAGAUAAGGUAGCGUUUAAUAGCUUAAACUUUUAUAAUAAACUUCAAUCUUUUUGUUAAAUACUUGACGCGAAUACUCUAUAUUAAUAAGUAUUUAAUUUAUAUGCCUCAAUAAUUGCUAAACACAUUAGAAUCAUUAAACUCAAAAUUUAUUACCGGUUUCAUCGAUGCGGAAGGUUGUUUUCAUAUUUCCAUUGUUAAUAGUAAAUCAAAUAAAGAAGGUAAAAGUGUAAGAGUAAUUUUUCAGAUUUCCUUACAUGAAAAAGAUAAAGCUUUAUUAUAUCAAAUAAAAGAUUAUUUCGGUGUAGGAAAAGUUAUUAAUCGUGGUGAUAAUGUAUAUUAUUAUCAAGUUACCUCAACUAAAGAUUUAGUGGUGAUUAUUGAAUAUUUGAAUAAGUAUCCGCUUAUUACACAAAAGAGAGUAGACUUCGAAUUGUUUAAACAAGUGGUUUAUUUAAUAAUAAACAAAAAUCAUCUUACAAAAGAAGGAUUGGCUAAUAUUAUUAAUAUAAAAGCUUCAAUGAACUUCAAAUCUAUUUCAGAUCUGGGCCUUCGCCCUGAUCAUCCCCUCCGCCCUUCGGCCUAGGACCAGGUCGCUAGGCCUGGGCCGAGAGGGGGAAGAUCUCAUACAAGGAGAAUAUCCUGAUAUAAACCCUGUCAAAAGACCGUUAAUGAAAAGUAUAGAAUCUAUAGAUCCUGACUGGUUAAGUGGAUUUGUAGAAGGGGAAGGUUGUUUCUUCGUUAAUAUUUACAAAAGAAAAGAUAGUAUUUUAGGAGAAGGAGUUAAGUUAGUUUUUAAAAUAACUCAAGACAAAAGAAACAGUGAUAUACUUGCAUUAUUUUCAAGCGUUUUUGGUUGCGGUAAAGUAUAUAGCCAAUCCUCUAUUUAAAAAUAAAAAAAAUAAAAAUAAAUUUUUAUUUUUUCUAAAGGGAGGGGUAUUUCCCCGAAGAGGAUCCUUGUGGUCCCUGAGGGGUCCCACAAGGAAGACUUUAUGGUGACAGGUCUUGGAGAUAUUACAGGAAAAGUAAUACCCUUUUUCUUGGCUCAUCCUUUAAAAGGAGCAAAGUUAAAAGAAUACCAAGAUUUCGUAAAAGUCUAGUCCCUCCGGGACCAAGAAUUAAUGCAAAAUAAAGCUCAUCUUACUAAAGAUGGCUUCCCCUCGGGGACUUACGUAAGCAAAGCUUACUCAAGGAGUCCCCGGGGGUCGCUUCGCGAAGAAGAAAUCAGAUCGAUAAAAUUAGGUAUGAAUUCUCAGCGUACAGAUUAUAGUUAAUUUAAAAGCUAGUUCCUCGGGACGAGGAACUAGUUUCCUCGCUACGGAUAACAAGUUCCCCUUCGCGGGUAACUAGUAUAAGUAUAAAAAUGUUAAAUUAAAGUAUCCACAUUAGCCUCGUCCAGUGUGUGAAGUGUUCACAAAUUGGAUAAAUUUGUGGACGAAAGGAACUCGGCAAAUUGAUACCAAAACUUCGGGAAAAGGUAGGCUCAUUAGUCUUGAUUAAUACAAGUAAAAAGGAAGAAGCAUAAAAGGAUGUUGUACGACUGUUUAAUUAAAACACAGCACUUUGCGAAAAGAUGAUAAAUCUAAGUAUUGAGUGUGAUACCUGCCCGGUGCCGGCUGGUUAACGGAAAUAACUAAAUUGUCGUAAAUUUGGUGUAGAAGGAAACCCCGGCUAAUGGCGGCCUUAUACCUGAGGGUCCUAAGGUAGCGGAAUACCUUGGCCGUUAAAUGCGGUCUUUGCAUGAAUGGUGUAACGAUACAACAGCUGUCUCUAUGAUUGACUCUGUGAAAUUGGAAUAACUGUGCAGAUACAGUUUACCUCUAGUUGGACGAGAAGACCCUAUGCAGCUUUACUGUUACUAAUUAUUUAGUAUAAUAACAGCAAAUUUGAGAAGAUAAGGUAAUCGACUGUAUAGAAGUGAAAUACCUUUAUUUGCUUAUUGUAUUAUUAUGGAAUAGUCUGUAGAUCGUCUAGCAAAUUAAGUGUGUUUGAGCGCACCUCGUAAGAUACUUCUCAUCCCCCAUAUCCCCCUCCGGGGGAUGAGGGAGAUGAGAAGUAGAAUCUAUGUCCCCAGAUCCCCCAGAUCCCCCUCCGGGGGAUGAGGGGGAUGAGGGGAUUAGAGGUGCACUCAAACUAUAAAAAAAAUUUUAUUAACUCUCCGUAGGAGCCCCCGAAGGGGAAGAACACUUAUCUUGUGGUAGCUAUAUAUAAAAUUAGUGCCUCAAAUGAUGUAGUUUUCUGCUUGGGUGCACAUGAAAUUAUGUAUGGUGGCGGUUAUAGACUAGAAACAUCUAAUUCUAUGAUCUAUGGAUUAGGAUAAAGGUACCGUGAGCGAUACUUAGAGGACUAAGAGAACCAAAAGGUUUAAAGUAGCGUAGCGAUACUUCGAUUAUACGAAGAUAAUGAUUCAUAGAAAAGGGAUAACAUUUGCUAGGAGACAGUUUAUGCGGGGCACAGACCCCAUAAAGAGUAGAUGGGAGUGUCUAAGGAUUGUGAUGUUGAUUGCGGCGUAAGCUCGUGUUUGAAUUUUUAAUCACGAAUCCCCUCCAGGGGUAUAAAAUCAGGGAUCUGGAAUAAAUCUCCUAAGGGGGGGAUCGCAAUUAUUAAUUUUUUAAUAUCUCUUUUUAGGUGCUUAUCGUGCACCUAAUAGAUUCUUCUAUUAGGUGC